GAAAAGGAGAGAAGUGGUACUGAGAUGCCUGAUUGAGUACAUAUGGGAGGGAAAGGAAGACCUCAUCAGUGUCCACCAUAGUCAUGAUGAAACAGAGGUGCACGCUGAGCUUGGCAGUUCCCCACUGAAAAUCAGCCAAACACGAUUGGGAUUAUCACAGUAGAAGGACAGCCCAUGGUCAGAGGUGUGCCAAACCUGUAGAAAACCCCCUGUUUGGACUUGUCUAUGCCCACAACCUCUAAUAUCACUCAAAUCUGGUGUAUACUUCUGAGAUAUAUCACAGGCUCUUUGUGGGAUUGGACCCUAUGCAUACUUUUGUAUGUUUUGUAGGCACUGUUAAAAGUGACACUAGUUGACAUUGAAUAAAUGUUAUUGUCUUUAA